UUUAGGCACCCAUGUAAACUUGUUCGGGCGGGUCGUUUGAGGGUGUGUGUGUCAACUCGUUCUGGCAGGUCAGGCGAGGGCAUCCAUGUGAACGCGUUCGAGUGGGUCAGGUGAGGGAGCGCCUGGUCGAACGAACCCGUAUGAAAAAAUGCUAAGUUGUGACCCGAGCUUGGCUUUGUGCAUGUUCGUGCAGCUCGUUUUCCCGACUCUCCCUUGUCGCUUCGUUUCGGUCGUUUGGGCGCCCAUCUAAACUCUUUCGGGUGGGUCGUUUGAGGGCGUGCGUGUCAACUCGUUAGGCGGGUCGGGCGAGGGUGUCCGUGUGAACGCAGUCGGGUGGGUCGGGCGAGGGUGCGCCCGGGCGAACGAGCCCAUAUCAAAAAAUUCUAAGUUGUGACCCGAGGUUGGCUUUGUGCACGUUCGUGAAGCUCGUUUACCCAGCUCUAUUUUGUCCCUUCGUUUCGGUGAAUCGUUUGGGGGCAUGCGUGUGAACUCGUUCGGGCGGGUCGGGUGAGGGCGCGCUUGGGCGAACGAGCCCAUAUCAAAAAAUGCUAAGUUAUGACUCGAGGUUGGCUUUGUGCACGUUUGUGCAGCUCGUUUUCCCGACUCUCCCUUGUCCCUUCGUUUCGGUGAGUCAGGCGAGGGUGUUCAUGUGAACUCGUUCGGGCGGGUCAAGUGAGGGCGCGGCCGUGUGAAUGAGCCCAUAUCAAAAAAUGCUAAGUUGUGACCAGAGGAAACUAUGGUGGAGGCUCAUAGCGAUACUGACAUGCAAAUCAUUUGUCUGACUUUGGUAUAUGGGCGAAAGACUAAUCGAACCAUCUAGUAGCUAGUUUCCUCCAAGGUUUCCCUCAGGAUAGCUGGAGCUCACACGCGAGUUUUAUUGGGUAAAGCAAAUGAUUAGAGGCAUCGGGGGUGUAACGCCCUCGACUUAUUAUCAAACUUUAAAUAGGUAAGAGGGUGUGGCUGCUCCAUUGAGCCGCACCGUGGAAUCGAGAGCUCCAAGUGGGCCAUUUUUGGUAAGCAGAACUGGCGAUGCGGCAUGAACCGAAAGUCGAGUUACAGUGCCAAAUUGCGCGUUAACCUAGAUCCCACAAAGGUUGUUGGUUGAUUAAGACAACAGGACUGUGGUCAUGGAAGUUGAAAUCCGCUAAGGAGUGUGUAACAACCCACCUGCUGAAUCAACUAGUGCCAAAAAUGGAUGGCGCUGAAGCACGCAACCUAUACUCGACCGUCGGAGCAAUUUCCUGGAUCCAAUGAGUACGAGGACGUGGGGGUCAUUGAGAAACCUUGGGCGUGAGCUUGGGUGGAUCGGCCCCCGGUGCAGAUCUUGGUGGUAGUAGAAAAUAUUCAAAUGAGAACUUUGAAGACUGAAGUGGGGAAAGGUUCCAUGUGAACAACACUUGGACAUGGGUUAGUCGAUCCUAAGAGAUGGGGAAGCCUUGUAUCAAGGGUGCACUCUGCAUGAGCAUCAAAAGGGAAUCGGGUUAAUAUUCCCGAACUGGGACAUGGCAGCGGGUGGAAACGUUAGGAAAUCCGGAGACAUUGUCGGGGGCCCUGGGAUGAGUUAUCUUUUCUUUUUAACAGCUUGCCCACCCUGGAAUUAGUUCACCCAAAGAUAAGGUCCAGCAGCUGGAAGAGAACCACAUGUCUUGUGGUGUCUGGUGUGCCCUCGGCGGCCCUUGAAAAUUUGGAGGACCGAGUACCGUUCAUGCCCGGUAAUACUCAUAACCGCAUAAGGUCUCCAAGGUGAAUAGCCUCUGGUCAAUAGAACAAUGUAGGUAAGGGAAGUCGGCAAAAUGGAUUCGUAACUUUAGGAAAAGGAUUGGCUCUGAGGGCUAGGCCUAGGGGUCUGUAACCUCAACUCGUGGGCUGUCAGCAGUCUGCCCGAGCUACUCUCAUGGUGAGGGCAGGCAGUAGCGUGCCGAUUGGGCUACAGGCGUAGAAUGCCCCCUGCCGGGGGCUUUCCCUAGGUGUCGAAUAGUUGACUCAGAACUAGUACGAACAAGGGGAAUCUGAAUUUUUAAUUAAAAAAAAGCAUUGCGAUGGUCCCUGCAGAUGCUAAUGCAAUGUGAUUUCUACCCAGUGCUCUGAAUGUCAAAGUGAAGAAAUUCAACCAAGCACGGGUAAACGAUGGGAGUAACUAUGACUCUCUUAAGGUAGCCAAAUGCCUCGUCAUCUAAUUAGUGACAUGCAUGAAUGGAUUAACAAGAUUCCCACUAUCCCUAUCUACUAUCUAGCGAAACCACAACCAAGGGAACGGGCUUGGUAGAAUCAGCGGGGAAAGAAGAUCCUGUUGAGCUUAACUCUAGUCCGACUUUGUGAAAUGACUUGAGAGGUGUAGAAUAAGUGGGAGCCAUUUUCGCUGCAAGUGAAAUGCCACUACUUUUAACGUUAUUUUACUUAUUUCAUGGGGCGGAGAUGGGGCAUUGCCCCUGUUUCUAGCCUUAAGGCAUGUUUCGGUGGGUCGAUUUGAGUGGAAGAUAUUUUUAGGUGGGGAGUUUAGCUGGGGCGGCACAUCUGUUAAAAGAUAACGCAGGUGUCAUAAGAUGAGCUCAACGAGAACAGAAAUCUCGUGUGGAACAAAAGGAUAAAAUCUCAUUUGAUUUUGAUUUUCAGUACAAAUACAAAUCGUGAAAGCGUGGCCUAUCGGUCCUUUAGAUUUUCGGAAUUUGAAGCUAGAGGUGUCAGAAAAGUUACCACAGGGAUAACUGGAUUGUGGAAGCCAAGCGUUCAUAGCGACGUUGCUUUUUUAUUCUUCGAUGUCAGCUCUUCCUAUCAUUGUGAAGCAGAAUUCACCAAGUGUUGGAUUUUUCACCCACCAAUAGGGAAUGUGAGCUGGGUUUAGACCAUCAUGAGAUAGGUUAGUUUUACCCUACUGAUGAGCCGCACCACAAUAGUAAUUCAACUUAGUACGAGAGGAACCGUUUAUUCACACAAUUGGUCAUCGCGCUUGGUUGAAAAGCUAGUGGCGCGAAGCUACCGUGUGUCGGAUUAUGACUGAACGCCUCUAAGUUAGAAUCCACGCUAGAAGUGGUGCAUGUCACUCUUCGACUGUAUCUCGACCUGUAGUAGGGGCAUCGCUUUGUCGCCCCCCGGGGCCCGUGUCAUUUGCAAACCACGACUGUGAAGCAUCUAGGUCAUGGUAGCUUUGAAGUUCAUUUU
rnacentral:rRNA from 1 species